rnacentral:snRNA from 1 species
GUGCACACUUCAGCAGCCCAUACACUAAAAUUGGAACAAUACAGAGAAGACUAGCAUGGCCUCUGCAUAAGGAUG